rnacentral:rRNA from 1 species
GUUAGCGGCGGACGGGUGAGUAACACGUGGGCAACCUGCCCUGUAGACGGGGAUAACACCGAGAAAUCGGUGCUAAUACCGGAUAAUACGAAAGGCCGCAUGGUCUUUCGUUGAAAGGCGGCGCAAGCUGUCGCUACAGGAUGGGCCCGCGGCGCAUUAGCUAGUUGGUGAGGUAACGGCUCACCAAGGCGACGAUGCGUAGCCGACCUGAGAGGGUGAUCGGCCACACUGGGACUGAGACACGGCCCAGACUCCUACGGGAGGCAGCAGUAGGGAAUCUUCCGCAAUGGACGAAAGUCUGACGGAGCAACGCCGCGUGAGCGAAGAAGGCCUUCGGGUCGUAAAGCUCUGUUGUUAGGGAAGAACAAGUACCGCAGUCACUGGCGGUACCUUGACGGUACCUAACGAGGAAGCCACGGCUAACUACGUGCCAGCAGCCGCGGUAAUACGUAGGUGGCAAGCGUUGUCCGGAAUUAUUGGGCGUAAAGCGCGCGCAGGCGGUUCCUUAAGUCUGAUGUGAAAGCCCACGGCUCAACCGUGGAGGGUCAUUGGAAACUGGGGGACUUGAGUGCAAAAAAGGAGAGCGGAAUUCCACGUGUAGCGGUGAAAUGCGUAAAAAUGUGGAGGAACACCAGUGGCGAAGGCGGCUCUCUGGUCUGUAACUGACGCUAAGGCCCAAAGCGUGGGGAGCAAACAGGAUUAAAUACCCUGGUAGUCCCCGCCGUAAACGAUGAGUGGUAAGUGUUAAAGGGAUCCCCCCUUUAGUGCUGUAGCUAACCCAUUAACCACUCCCCCUGGGGAGUCCCCUCCCAAGAGUGAAACCCAAAGGAAUUGACGGGGGCCCCCCCAAGCGGGGGGCCAGGGGUUUAAUUGGAACCACCGCGAGGACCCUUCCCGGGUCUUGCCUUCCCCGGCCACCCCGGGGGUUGGGGCGUCCCCCCUUCGGGGGGACAGGGUGACAGGUGGUGCAUGGUUGUCGUCAGCUCGUGUCGUGAGAUGUUGGGUUAAGUCCCGCAACGAGCGCAACCCUCGACCUUAGUUGCCAGCAUUCAGUUGGGCACUCUAAGGUGACUGCCGGCUAAAAGUCGGAGGAAGGUGGGGAUGACGUCAAAUCAUCAUGCCCCUUAUGACCUGGGCUACACACCUGCUCCAAUGGGCGGUACAAAGGGUCGCGAACCCGCGAGGGGGAGCCAAUCCCAAAAAGCCGCUCUCAGUUCGGAUUGCAGGCUGCAACUCGCCUGCAUGAAGCCGGAAUCGCUAGUAAUCGCGGAUCAGCAUGCCGCGGUGAAUACGUUCCCGGGCCUUGUACACACCGCCCGUCACACCACGAGAGUUUGCAACACCCGAAGUCGGUGAGGUAACCC